rnacentral:tRNA from 1 species
GGGGAUUUGGCUCAGUGGAAGAGCGCUUGCCUAGUAAGCGCAAGGCCCUGGGUUCAGUUCCCAGCUCCG